AAAGAGGAGGGAUUGUUCUUUUCUCCCUUACACACUCUUACACACUCAUUUAUUCCCCAGAGUUACCAAGUAAGUCCCCUGAAUCGAAAGUGUGAUAUGCUCCCCUGCGUUAAACCAAGGGAACAUUUUGCCCCAACCUUUUGAAUUUGCUUUUUUUCCCCUAAAUAGUCUUGAACAGAGAGCUCACAGGCUCUAUUAUAAUACAGAAUUAUGUAAUGAUGCGUACAGUGCAUUAAGUAACAUAACUUGAUAAACUCUUUUGUAAACCCUGCCUCCUGGCACAUAGUAGGAAUACAUUAAAUACUUACUGAAUUAAGAUGUUAAUGAAAUAUUGUAAUUGGCCACAAAUUCAAUAGUACUAGGGUAAGCCUUUUUUUUUUUUUUUUUUCCAGAAGAAAAAGAUAUUUUGCCUGAAAGUUAUUAGGGUAAUAUAUUUCUGCUUCUAGAUUUUUUUUUUAACAAGUGCAAAUCUGAUUUAAAUGGUUGAAAGACAAGUAAAUCGGAGACAUAGCAAAUGGUCAAUAAUAGUAACUAGUGUCAAAAGCUGAUUAUUUUCCCAGGAGGAUAAACCACAAAUAUUGCCUACUAAAUAGUGUGAGAAAGAUGCCAAGGAGGGAUAAAACAGUAUUGGCCUUCAAGGAAUUUGUUUGGUGGCAAGAUGACAUCAAAAUGUGAAAAGACAACUUAAUGGAUCAGUAAAUGGAUGGAAUCAAAAGAAUAUGUUGUGGUGAGUCCGCUGCAAGUCAGUUGAUCUGUUCCAUGUCUCCUCAAUCAGGAUUCCAGACUGAUAGAACAGUUGCCAUCUUGAAUGUUUUACGUUGCUAUGGGGAGAAUAAAGAUUACUCCAGAGGGUGUCAGGCUGGCAUUUAAAUCCUAUGGCCAGAAGUGGCACACAUCAUUUGGGCUUCAACCUAAUUGGCCAGGACUAGUGGCAUGGCUUCAUUGAAUCAUCACAGUGAGGCCACAUCGUGCUGCCUACCUCGUGCCCCAAAGUAGAGAGCUAUGCUGCACAACUUUUAAGGACUAACAUACUCUUAGUGACUCUUUGCGCCAAUAUUCUCUAGAUUCCAAUUUGGGGAAACUUCUGGGAAGACACAAAUAAGUUGCAGUAUAUGAACAUUCUUCUGGUGAAUUACUUUUAAAGGAUUUAGAACCACCUGAAAAAGAAUUUUAUGAAUCAACAAUAAAAAGAGAAGAAAUAAGCAUAUUCUAGAGAGUGGAAAGAAUGAAGAGUCCACUUCAUCAAUUCCAGUUUGCUCUCUAACAUGCUCCUGUGGCCUUCUAUGUUGCUGGCCCUGACACACUUUGGGAUUUUCCUAUGCUAGCAGAGUAUAAGUCUUUACUGGCCAGCAUUGCAUUUCCAAAAUUUAAUGGUCAAGCAGAAGACUUCCCCUUUGAUGGCUUCUUGGGCUUUGUGCACCAAUGACUUGAAAUAUAUUAUAAAUGCUAGAAGCUGAUCUUCAAGCUUAGAAAAGAGGAAUUUUGUGGAAGCACAUUAAAGACAUGGGGUCUUCUCUUGGGCUCCCACUCUGUUGGAUGUCCUUGCAGUUUUUGAAAAUGGAACAAUGAACAUAUUCUAGCACAUGAAGUAUACCAGAAACUGGUUGUUUCCAUAUGCAAGUUCAAUCAUUUUUCCCACUUCCUGUGACUUUUAUAGAUGGAAUUGGAGACAGCAUCAUGGAUACAUUAAGAUCAACUUAUCCUCUGAGAGAAAGUGGAAAACCUGCAUAAAAUCUGGCAAAUAUUUGUUUAAAAGCAUCCCAGAGACUCAAGACAGAGAGGGCUUGAGAAGUGGAGAACCCAGAGUGCAGAGAAUCCGUAAGAGAUCUCACUUCCCUAACUGUUAGAAGCUAAGGAUGUUGUAGGUCUCUGCUCUUGUAAGACUUUGGCUGCAGAAUCCCGGGAUAAGCCCUCCUAGGGGUCUGGAGAAGAUCAAAGGGGAGCUUGCAUGUGCGUUCUCUUUGGAAACCCUGAAGCACUGUGUGAAUGAAAAAUGUGAGAAUGCAGCCAUCUGCAAGCCAAGAAGAGGGCCCUCACCAAGAACUGAAUCUACUGGUACCUUGAUCUUGGACUUCCCAGCCAUCAGAACUGUGAACAAUAAAUGUCUUGUUUAAGCCA